CUGGUUGGGAGCCAAUCAGCGAGCGCGCGCUGAGCUGCCGCUCUCCGCUUCCUGUGGCAGAGCCCGGGCGAGGGGCGGCAGGCGCCAUGUCCGGCCGCGAAGGUGGCAAGAAGAAGCCCCUGAAGCAGCCCAAGAAACAGGCCAAGGAAAUGGACGAGAUAAGGCAUUCAAGCAGAAACAGAAGGAGGAGCAGAAGAAACUCGAGGAACUAAAAGCCAAGGCCGCGGGGAAGGGCCCCCUGGCCACUGGUGGAAUUAAGAAGUCUGGCAAAAAGUAAGCUGUUUCUUGUGCUGGAGAUAAUGGUGAUCUUUAAUUCUAUUUCUGGUUAAACAUCUGGAUUCCCUGUGUAACCUCGGUUGCCAGCAGUACCUAGAAUGAAGUGUUUUGGAACCUGUUGUACACUUAAGAAUAAACUUCUGUAAAAAAAUUUAAAAAAAGAAGAGAAAGAAUUCAUAAGGUUUCUCAUUCUCUGGUUCUCAGCUGUUUUUACUGUAGCAGUGAAGUCAGUAAACCUAGCCCAGACCCUGCCAAAGUGUACUUUCCUCAAGUGUUUGGUCCAUCCCUUAUUCUGUACCAUCUGAAAUUAAACCAGCUCAUUUGAAACA